UAGAAGCUGUUUGAUCCUAUGCAAUUAUAAAUAUGGGAUAACUAAAAAUAUAUACAAUUAGAAAUAUUACAGUUAUAAUUACAUGCAUCAUAUAUAGCCGAAUGUAAUAAAAGGUAUUACAACUAUGAAUUAUGUGACGCCCCGACUUCCCAGAGGGUCAUCCAUCCUAGGACUACUCCCGUCCUAACACGCUUAACUCUCUUAACCUCUUGGGGGUAGCCACCACCCAAAAUGCUUAAGUCGGGUUAAGAGUUUAGUCCUAUUAUAUCUUAUAUAUAGGACUAUCUGGGGUCUUAUAAUCUCCCAUCCUUUAAGCCCUGACGUUCUCGUCAGGCUCAGACUCACAAGUACCAGGCAAUGUAAGACUCGUCUCGCUAGCCUGUCAUCCAGACCCUGGCUCAGCCGAGACUCAUCUCACACUUCUGGCUGGUAAUUGGCUCUGAUACAUCUGUAACGCCUCGACUUCCCAAGGGAUCACCCAUCCUAGGACUACUCCCGUCCUAGCACGCUUAACUCUCUUAACCUCUUGGGUCUAGCCACCACCCAAAAUACUUAAGCCGGGUUAAGAGUUUAGCCCUAUUAUAUCUUAUAUAUAGGACUAUCUGGUGUCUCACAAAUUAUUUAUUUAUUUAUUUGUAUGAAAUUGUGAAGUAUACUUAUAAUAUUUUAUUAUUUUAUAUAUGAGAUAUUGAGAUGUGUCAUGUGGGAAAGAAAUAUUUUUUGUUUAAAGAUUAUUAGUGAGGUAAUUAAUAUUAUUUUUUAUUUAGAAUUACUCUUUUCAAUCUCUGCAAUUGAGUUACGAUCAAUUUAAGCGUAGGCCCAAUUACUAUAAUUGGGCCUCAUCAUAUAUUUUAACUACAACAAUUAAAUUCGAAAACAUCAAACUAAAUACUUUGAUUUAAAUUUAU
rnacentral:lncRNA from 1 species